rnacentral:rRNA from 1 species
UGGGGAAUAUUGGACAAUGGGCGAAAGCCUGAUCCAGCCAUGCCGCGUGAGUGAUGAAGGCCCUAGGGUUGUAAAGCUCUUUCACCGGUGAAGAUAAUGACGGUAACCGGAGAAGAAGCCCCGGCUAACUUCGUGCCAGCAGCCGCGGUAAUACGAAGGGGGCUAGCGUUGUUCGGAAUUACUGGGCGUAAAGCGCACGUAGGCGGAUUGUUAAGUGAGGGGUGAAAUCCCAGGGCUCAACCCUGGAACUGCCUCUCAUACUGGCAAUCUCGAGUUCGAGAGAGGUGAGUGGAAUUCCGAGUGUAGAGGUGAAAUUCGUAGAUAUUCGGAGGAACACCAGUGGCGAAGGCGGCUCACUGGCUCGAUACUGACGCUGAGGUGCGAAAGCGUGGGGAGCAAACA